UGGGGAAUAUUGCACAAUGGAGGGAACUCUGAUGCAGCGACGCUGCGUGAACGAAGAAGGCUUUCGAGUCGUAAAGUUCUUUUAUAUGGGAAGAUAAUGACGGUACCAUAAGAAAAAGCCCCGGCUAACUACGUGCCAGCAGCCGCGGUAAUACGUAGGGGGCUAGCGUUGUCCGGAAUCACUGGGCGUAAAGGGUUCGCAGGCGGAAAUGCAAGUCAGGUGUAAAAGGCAGUAGCUUAACUACUGUAAGCAUUUGAAACUGCAUAUCUUGAGUAGAGUAGAGGUAAGUAGAAUUUUUAGUGUGGCGGUGGAAUGCGUAGAUAUUAAAUAGAAUGCCGGUGGCGGAGGCGACUUGCUGAGCUCAUUCUGACGCUGAGGAACGAAAGCGUGGGUAGCAAACAGG
rnacentral:rRNA from 1 species